AGCAGCCCAGAGCCUGAAUCAGUGUGUGUGUUAGUGGAAGCGUCUGGAAAGGCGCGCGAUACAGGGUGACAGCCCCGUACACAAAAAUGCACAUGCUGUGAGCUCGAUGAGUAGGGCGGGACACGUGGUAUCCUGUCUGAAUAUGGGGGGACCAUCCUCCAAGGCUAAAUACUCCUGACUGACCGAUAGUGAACCAGUACCGUGAGGGAAAGGCGAAAAGAACCCCGGCGAGGGGAGUGAAAAAGAACCUGAAACCGUGUACGUACAAGCAGUGGGAGCACGCUUAGGCGUGUGACUGCGUACCUUUUGUAUAAUGGGUCAGCGACUUAUAUUCUGUAGCAAGGUUAACCGAAUAGGGGAGCCGAAGGGAAACCGAGUCUUAACUGGGCGUUAAGUUGCAGGGUAUAGACCCGAAACCCGGUGAUCUAGCCAUGGGCAGGUUGAAGGUUGGGUAACACUAACUGGAGGACCGAACCGACUAAUGUUGAAAAAUUAGCGGAUGACUUGUGGCUGGGGGUGAAAGGCCAAUCAAACCGGGAGAUAGCUGGUUCUCCCCGAAAGCUAUUUAGGUAGCGCCUCGUGAAUUCAUCUCCGGGGGUAGAGCACUGUUUCGGCAAGGGGGUCAUCCCGACUUACCAACCCGAUGCAAACUGCGAAUACCGGAGAAUGUUAUCACGGGAGACACACGGCGGGUGCUAACGUCCGUCGUGAAGAGGGAAACAACCCAGACCGCCAGCUAAGGUCCCAAAGUCAUGGUUAAGUGGGAAACGAUGUGGGAAGGCCCAGACAGCCAGGAUGUUGGCUUAGAAGCAGCCAUCAUUUAAAGAAAGCGUAAUAGCUCACUGGUCGAGUCGGCCUGCGCGGAAGAUGUAACGGGGCUAAACCAUGCACCGAAGCUGCGGCAGCGACGCUUAUGCGUUGUUGGGUAGGGGAGCGUUCUGUAAGCCUGUGAAGGUGUGCUGUGAGGCAUGCUGGAGGUAUCAGAAGUGCGAAUGCUGACAUAAGUAACGAUAAAGCGGGUGAAAAGCCCGCUCGCCGGAAGACCAAGGGUUCCUGUCCAACGUUAAUCGGGGCAGGGUGAGUCGACCCCUAAGGCGAGGCCGAAAGGCGUAGUCGAUGGGAAACAGGUUAAUAUUCCUGUACUUGGUGUUACUGCGAAGGGGGGACGGAGAAGGCUAUGUUGACCGGGCGACGGUUGUCCCGGUUUAAGCGUGUAGGCUGGUUUUCCAGGCAAAUCCGGAAAAUCAAGGCUGAGGCGUGAUGACGAGGCACUACGGUGCUGAAGCAACAAAUGCCCUGCUUCCAGGAAAAGCCUCUAAGCAUCAGGUAACAUCAAAUCGUACCCCAAACCGACACAGGUGGUCAGGUAGAGAAUACCAAGGCGCUUGAGAGAACUCGGGUGAAGGAACUAGGCAAAAUGGUGCCGUAACUUCGGGAGAAGGCACGCUGAUAUGUAGGUGAAGUCCCUCGCGGAUGGAGCUGAAAUCAGUCGAAGAUACCAGCUGGCUGCAACUGUUUAUUAAAAACACAGCACUGUGCAAACACGAAAGUGGACGUAUACGGUGUGACGCCUGCCCGGUGCCGGAAGGUUAAUUGAUGGGGUCAGCGCAAGCGAAGCUCUUGAUCGAAGCCCCGGUAAACGGCGGCCGUAACUAUAACGGUCCUAAGGUAGCGAAAUUCCUUGUCGGGUAAGUUCCGACCUGCACGAAUGGCGUAAUGAUGGCCAGGCUGUCUCCACCCGAGACUCAGUGAAAUUGAACUCGCUGUGAAGAUGCAGUGUACCCGCGGCAAGACGGAAAGACCCCGUGAACCUUUACUAUAGCUUGACACUGAACAUUGAGCCUUGAUGUGUAGGAUAGGUGGGAGGCUUAGAAGUGUGGACGCCAGUCUGCAUGGAGCCGACCUUGAAAUACCACCCUUUAAUGUUUGAUGUUCUAACGUUGACCCGUAAUCCGGGUUGCGGACAGUGUCUGGUGGGUAGUUUGACUGGGGCGGUCUCCUCCUAAAGAGUAACGGAGGAGCACGAAGGUUGGCUAAUCCUGGUCGGACAUCAGGAGGUUAGUGCAAUGGCAUAAGCCAGCUUGACUGCGAGCGUGACGGCGCGAGCAGGUGCGAAAGCAGGUCAUAGUGAUCCGGUGGUUCUGAAUGGAAGGGCCAUCGCUCAACGGAUAAAAGGUACUCCGGGGAUAACAGGCUGAUACCGCCCAAGAGUUCAUAUCGACGGCGGUGUUUGGCACCUCGAUGUCGGCUCAUCACAUCCUGGGGCUGAAGUAGGUCCCAAGGGUAUGGCUGUUCGCCAUUUAAAGUGGUACGCGAGCUGGGUUUAGAACGUCGUGAGACAGUUCGGUCCCUAUCUGCCGUGGGCGCUGGAGAACUGAGGGGGGCUGCUCCUAGUACGAGAGGACCGGAGUGGACGCAUCACUGGUGUUCGGGUUGUCAUGCCAAUGGCACUGCCCGGUAGCUAAAUGCGGAAGAGAUAAGUGCUGAAAGCAUCUAAGCACGAAACUUGCC
rnacentral:rRNA from 1 species